rnacentral:lncRNA from 10 species
AGGGAAAAGAGGAUUUCACCCACCUGCAGGGACGUAUCAAAUACAACCAAUUUGGAGCUUGUGGGAAUCAGGUCAUAGCAGCGAUGAGACUUCAUGAAGGAAGUAUACACGCUAUUGUUGGAUUCUGGGGUCUCUGCAUAGGGUGGGAUAGUUAGUAGCUUCCUUCCACAUAAAAACUCCCAAUCAAAAGAGACAGAAAACAAAAUAGUGUUCUAGUAUCUCAAAUAUUUAGAGCAUUAUUUUUUAAUAAGACCCCUUAUUUUAUCUGUCUUGUUCCUAUUGUUUCCACAAAACCUGGAUAAACCUCUUAGAAACCAUUUCAUCCAACCCCUGUCUCCAGGUUAAGACUUUAUCUAUUGGUCCCUAUAGGUAAAAGAAGUUGACUAAAACAUAAAGCCUAUAGUAUCUCUCUUUAACAUGUUAUAGUCUAAAAAUGUUUCUCAUCUUUAAUCCAAGCUUUCCCUUUCAUAUACUUAGCACAUUUUCACUUUCCUCUUUUUUCAAUGAAGUAAGCUUCUUAAAAUUCUUCCAAGACUGUGCUGGGGAUGGUGGCAAGCACCUGUAAUCCCAGCUACUCAGGAAGUUGAGGCAGAGGAUCACUUGAACCCAGGAGCUCGAGGCCAGCCUGGGCAACACAGCGAACCCCUGUCUCAAUUAAAAAAAAAAUUAUUCUAAGACCUGCAAAUGGGAAAGUCAUGGUCCAAGUUGGGCCAUUUCUCAUUAACAAUAAGUUGGAGCCCAGUGCUCAAUCAACCUGGCUCAAAACACCCUGAUAGUCCAUUCUGGGAUCACCCUGUAAAUCAGAAAUCAUCCCACCUACUCUAGACAAAUGGGAGAUCCUGGCUAGUUUACCUUUUUCUAUUCCUGUGAUUUUAAUUGCUUGCUCUAAACUAGGGAAGUAAUCUCCCAAAAUAAUAGCUUGAAUGUGCUACAUACUAUACUACGUGCACUUAAAAAUAUUACAUUGAGGCUGGGCGUGGUGGCUCAUGCCUGUAAUCCCAGAACUUUGGGAGGCCAAGGUGGGAGGAUCACCUGAGGUCGGGAGUUCAAGACCAGCCUGACCAACAUGGAUAAACCCUGUCUCUAUUAAAAAUACAAAAUUAGCCGGGCAUGGUGGCGCAUGCCUGUAAUCCCAGCUACUCGGGAGGCUGAGGCAGGAGAAUUGCUUGAACCCGGGAGGCAGAGGUUGCGAUGAGCCGAGAUCGCAACAUUGCACUCCAGCCUGGGCAACAAGAGUGAAACUCCGUGUCAAAAAAAUAAAUAAAUAAAUAAAUAAAUUACAUUGGCUGGGCGUGGUGGCUCACACCUGUAACCCAGGACUUUGGGAGGCCAAGGUGGGUGGAUCACCUGAGGUCAGAAGUUUGAGACCAGCCUGGCCAACAUGGCGAAACCCCGUCUCUACUAAAAAAAUAUAAAAAUUAGCCAGGCGUGGUGGCACGUGCCUGUAGUCCCAGCUACUCAGGGGGCUGAGGCAGGAGAAUUGCUUGAACCCAGGAGGUGGAGGUUGCAGUGAGACGAGAUUGUGCCUCUGCACUCCAGCCUGGGCGACAGAGUGAGACUCCGUCUCAAAAAAAAAAAAAAAAAAUUACAUAAUUUAAUCCUUACAACAAAUGUGUAAGUAAUGUCCUCAUGUUUCAGAUGAGAAAAUAGGUGUAGUUAAAUAAACUGCUCAAGGUCACACCAUUAAUAAGUGGCAAGAAAGACUCAAACAAACCCAGAUCUGUUUCCAAACUUCAUGCUCUUAAGUCUUUAAUCAAUUUGGUUUUUAAUAUUUAUUUUUUUAACCAAAGUUAUAUAGACACACAGUUAAAUCAGUCCAACAGUUUUACAAAUUUUGUUAAGAAAAAAUUGCACUCCUUGCAACCCACCUCCCUGUACUACCCUUCCCCAGAGAUGAGAACAUCUAUCUACCUUAGUUGAUUAUUUUGGUACUUAAUUCUAUGUCCUUAAAUAACAUGCUUGUAUUGCUAGUUUCCAUUUUUUUUUUCAUUUUGGGGCAUUAUUUAUCAUCUAUCUACCAAAGAAGAUGAGAAUUUCUAGUUCUCUCUCCUACUAGGACUCCACCACAAACACGUACUUCCCAUUCUCCUCAUUAUUCCAGGAGCUAAACCAUAAUGUUGGUUAUAUCCGUAUUUCAAUCUUUUUUUUUUUUUUUUUUGAGAGGGAGUCUUGCUCUGUCACCCAGGCUGAAGUGCAGUGGCACGAUCUCAGGUUACUACAACCUCAGCCUUCCAGGUUCAAGCGAUUCUCCUGCCUCAGCCUCGCAAGUAGCUGGGGUUACAGGUGCCCGCCACCAUGCCCGGCUAAAUUUUGUAUUUUAGUAGAGACAGGGUUUCACCACAUUGGCCAGGCUGAUCUCGAACUCCUGACCUCAUGUGAUCUGCCCGCUUUGGCCUCCCAAAGUGCUGAGAUUACAGGAAUGAGCCACUGCACCCGGCCAGUAUUUAAAUCAUUUUGACUGAAUAUUUAUUAUUCAGAGAUAAGCCAAAUAGUAAACUCUGAUUUUUUUUUCUUCCUUCACAACUUUGUUUUACCUGGAGUUAAUGUCUUGUCCUUUUGUUUAAUUUUCUAUGUAUAAUUCUUAUAACUAAUCCAACCCCCAAAUGCUUCACCAACUAUUUAAAUCUCCUUUUAAGAGGUUCAAAAGCAUUAGACAGUCUAUCAAAAUUUAAACUACCCAAAGAAAUCUCCCUGGAGCCUUCUGACCUGCUCAAAUCUGGGCUGGUUUGUCUGGUGUGCACUGCUGUCAUCCUGGGAUCUUUCUUCAUCACCAUCCUGGGUACCCCUUUCACGUCUGUCCUCUACUGGUGCUCCUAUAUCGCGUUUUUAUCUUUUUUGAUUACUCCCUUAUUUUGGUGGAACACAUCUUCCAGUAGCUUCCUGAGAAAGGGUGCAUGGGAGGUAUGUGUUUUUGAGACCUUGCAGCCUGUAGAUAUCUUUAUUCUACCCUCAUCCUUGGAUUUAUAAUUCGGCUGAAUAGAGAAUCUGCAGGAAAGCUUGGAAUGUGUUUUCCUGCAGAAUGUUGAAGGCAUUGCUCCAUUGCCUGCUAGCUGCUGGUGUUGUUGAGAGUCCAAGGCAAUUCUGACUUUUUGUAUGUGACUUUUUUUUCCUCUCUCUGAAAACUCAUAGGAUCUCUGUUUCCAGUGUUCUGAAAUCUCAGGAUGACUGUGCUUUGGGUGGGUCACUUUCAUCCAUUGUGCUGAAUAUUCGAUGGGUCCUUUCAAUAUGAAAACUAAUGUCCUCAAGUUCCAAUAAAUGUUCUUGAAUUAGUUCCUCAAUUAUUUCCUUCCCUCUGUGUUGCCAUUUUUCUUUUUCUAUGACUCCUAUUUAGAUACUGGACCUCCUAGACUGAUCCUUUAAAUGUUUGUUUGUUUUGUGGGUUGUUGGAAUCUUUCCUCUCCUUUUUUUUUUUUUUUUUUAAAGAGACAGGCUUUCAUUCUGUUACCCAGGCUGGAGUACAAUGGCGAGAUCAUGGCUCACCUGCAGCCUUGACCUUCUGGGCUCAAGCAAUUCUCCUAUCUCAGCCUCCUGAGUAGCUGGGACUACAAGUGUAUGCCACUAUGCCUGGCUAAUUUUUAUUUUUUUGUAGAGACAGGGUCUUGCUGUGUUGCUGAGCUGGUCUUGAACUCCUGGCCUCCCGCCUCAGUCUCCCAAAGUGCUGGGAUUACAGGGAAUGUGACUUCACUGGACGCAGUAUAAAGAUCUUCAGAUGUCCUCCUGCCGGGGAUUGCAGGGAUCACAGAAAGACCAUCGAGGUCCAGGAGCUACCUGCAAGCGGAGAUCCCUCUGGACGCCCCGUGCCUCACCCAGCAAAGCCGGCUCACAACCCUGCGCUCUCAAACCUCUAAAAGGGCUUGAGGUGCCAAUAGGAAAGGAGGCCCGAGAUUGCCACGGCAUACGUGGGCCCCAAGGAGGGAGCCAGGAGUCACUGCCUGCUUGGGCUAAGGGUACCGCGUACGGAAAGGCGGCGGGGACGCGGCCCAGUUCCAGGAGAUGCGCCCAACGAAGAAGCGGAGGAACAGGGUCACGGGAUAGGGCAGACACCCGGCUGCUUUUUG